GGGUAAUCAUGGCCCGGGAGCCGGGGUAAUACGUAUGGGGCAAGGGUUGGCCGGAGUUACGGGGAGUAAAGCGCGGCUAGUCGGCCACGCAGGUCCGUUGUGAAAACUAGAGGCUCAACGUCUAGACGUCGACGGAAACCGUGUGGCUAGAGUCCGGAAGAGGAGAGUGGAAUUCCUGGUGUAGCGGUGAAAUGCGCAGAUAUCAGGAAGAACACCAAUGGCGAAGGCAGCUCUCUGGGACGGUACUGACGCUGAGACGCGAAAGCGUGGGGAGCGAACAGGAUUAGAUACCCGAGUAGC
rnacentral:rRNA from 1 species